GACGAACGCUGGCGGCGUGCUUAACACAUGCAAGUCGAACGGAAAGGCCCUGCUUGCAGGGUACUCGAGUGGCGAACGGGUGAGUAACACGUGGGUGAUCUGCCCUGCACUUCGGGAUAAGCCUGGGAAACUGGGUCUAAUACCGGAUAGGAGCCAUUCUUAGUGUGAUGGUUGGAAAGUUUUUUCGGUGUAGGAUGAGCUCGCGGCCUAUCAGCUUGUUGGUGGGGUAAUGGCCUACCAAGGCGGCGACGGGUAGCCGGCCUGAGAGGGUGGACGGCCACAUUGGGACUGAGAUACGGCCCAGACUCCUACGGGAGGCAGCAGUGGGGAAUAUUGCACAAUGGGCGCAAGCCUGAUGCAGCGACGCCGCGUGGGGGAUGACGGCCUUCGGGUUGUAAACGCCUUUCGCUAGGGACGAAGCUUUUUGUGGCGGUACCUAGAUAAGAAGCACCGGCUAACUACGUG
rnacentral:rRNA from 1 species